UUAUGGCUCAGAGCGAACGCUAGCGGAAUGCUUUAUACAUGCAAGUCGAACGGAUUUGAUUUUGUAGCAAUACAAAGAUUACGAUUAGUGGCGAACGGGUGAGUAAUAGUUAGGAACUUGCCGAAUAGUGGGGGACAACAGUUAGAAAUGACUGCUAAUACCGCAUAUUCCCGAGAGGGGAAAGAUUUAUUGCUAUUCGAGAGGCCUAACCACGAUUAGCUUGUUGGCGGGGUAAAUGCCCACCAAGGCAGUGAUCGUUAGCCGAUCUUAGAGGAUGAUCGGCCACAUUGGGACUGAGACACGGCCCAGACUCCUACGGGAGGCAGCAGUAGGGAAUAUUGGACAAUGGACGCAAGUCUGAUCCAGCAAUUCCGCGUGAGUGAUGAAGGUGUUAUGCAUUGUAAAACUCUUUUGCCCAUGAAGACAAUGACGGUAGUGGGAGAAUAAGCACCGACUAACUAUGUGCCAGCAGCUGC
rnacentral:rRNA from 1 species